ensembl:snRNA U6 U6 spliceosomal RNA
GUGCUCACCUCGGCAGCACAUAGACUAAAAUUGGAACGAUACAGAGAAGAUUAGCAUGGCCCCUGAGUAAGGAUGACACGCAAAUUCCUGAAGCGUUCCAUAUUAAA